CUGGCAGCCACCAGGAGCUGGGCGGGAGGCCUGGGACAGACUCUCCUACAGAAACCCCAGGAGGACCGACCCAACAGAUACCUUGACUUUGGACUUCUAGCCUCCAGAACCGCAAGACCCUCCCCCAGCAAAAAGAUUACAACUCACUUGAUUGCGGUGGUCUGGGACCAAAACCUCAAUAUUUCUGAGGUAUGUCAUGCUGAGGUCAUCUUGAGCACCUUGGGAUGCAUGUGGUGGGGUACAAUAGGUUGUUUUGGUUUGGUUUUGGCCUAGAAGAUUUGCAAAAAAAAAAAAAAAAGUGAUACUAUUCCAUGUUGGCAAGGUUGCAGUGAAGCUGGCCUUGUGUGCUAUUAGUGGGCAAAUUAAUUGGUAGAACCUUGCUGGAGGGUAGAGCCAGUACUUUUAGGUGUGUAAAAAAAUCUUAUACAUCAGUAUGUUAGCUGAAGCAUAAUUUGGAAAUUGGAAAAUGGAAACAAUCUAAAUACUCUUCAGUAGAUGAUUGAUUAAAUGAUUAAGUCCAUCCAUAGAGAUGUAAUACUUGGAUCAUUAACACUAAUAUUUUUUACAGAGUAUUUAAUGCCAUGUAGUAAAUGCUCAUAAUAUAUUUGAAAAAUUAAUAUGUAAGGAAAUGAUGUAAUAUUCUAAUAAUGAAUACAUGUAUGUAUAUUGCUAUUACUAUAUUUGAAAAAUGUUUACAAAUAUUUAAAUAUUAAGAAAAUGGGCUCCAAAAUAUAUAAACUCAAAAACAAAAAUAACAAAUAACCCAAAUAAAAAAUGGGCAGAGGAUUUAAAUAGAUGGCUUUCCAAAGAAGACAUACAGAUGGCCAACAAGCAUGAAAAGAUGAUUAGCAUCACUAAUUAUCAGGGAAUGCCAAUCAAAACCACAAUGAUAUAUCACCUCACACCUGUUAGAAUGGCUGUGACCAACAGAGAAGACAUGACAAGUGUUGGAGAGGCUGUGGAGAAAAGAGAACUCUGCUACACUGUUGGUAGAACUGUAAACUGGGGCAGCUACUAUGGGAAACAAUGUGAAGAGUCCUUAAAAAAUUGAAGCUAGAUCUACAAAAUGAUCCAGCUGUUCCACUUCUGGGUGUUUAUCCAAAGAAUACAAAAUACUAAUUCAGAAAGAUAUCUGUACCCUUAUGUUCAUUGCAGCAUUAUUUAAAACUGCCAAGAUAUGGAAACAACCUAAGUUUCCAUUGAUGGAUGAAUGGAUAAAAAAAGAUUGGGCACAUAUAUAGAAUGGAAUGCUACCUGUCCACA